UACGUGAACUACGUGACCAUUUGUAUGUUCCGUAUUGUCAAUUGUAACGUAAUAUUCAACUGACAACUGAUAAGGCAAUAUAGUGAUUAUUGGAAUAAUCAAACCGCUCAUGUAGCGAGAUCCGGAAGCGCCGACUGCUAGGGGAGGAGAGUGGACGACUGUACAUAGAGAUAUCAGCGCAAACGUCUUUGAAAGACGGUUGUGGAGAAACAAUGUGAGGUACAGCGCUAACUGCUAUGGAAGGUUGAGUGGUUACGUAUGUGGUCGAAUGUCUAGCUAGUGUAGUCCGGGGGACAGAAUCGAAAAGUUCGGAUGUUGUGAUAGCAUGCUGCUAAAAUUGCUUUGGUUGGCUCAGCAUUGUAAUUCGUUGGUAUUGCUAGGUAGCAAGCUAACUGUAUGCCAAUAGCAGCGAAGUAAACUAGCUAUCUAGAUUACAUUAAAUUCGACUGCAUUGUGGCUAGCGCUCUCUCGCUAACAUCAUCUAGCUAGCCAAUCUCAACUCAGGUCUAUCGUAAAUCAUGUUGUUUAGUUAGCGUGGCUAGUUAGCUGUUUUAGAUACUGACCAGGCCACUUCGUGUUUCUAGUUAAACGAAUUAGGUAGUUAACCAGUUAUCGCAAACAAGGGGCUCAAUAACUCAACUUUUCCCACAUUACGUUACAGCCUUAUUCUAAACGUUUUUUUUUUUUUUUUUUAUCCUAAACAAUCUACACACACUACCCCAUAAUGACAACGCGAAAAUAGUUCACAUUUUUGCAAAAAGUAUUUACACCAUUUGCUUUGAGACUCGAAAUUGAGCCCAGGUGCGUCCUGUUUCCACAACUUAAUUGGAGUCCACCUGUGGUAAAUUCAGUUGAUUGGACAUGAUUUGGAAAGGCACACACCUUUCAAUAUAAGGUCCCACAAGUUGACAGUGCAUGUCAGAGCAAAAACCAAUCCAUGAGGUCAAAGGAAUUGUCUGUAGAGCUCAGAGACAGGAUUGUGUCGAGGCACAGGUCAGGGGAAGGGUACCAAAAAAUGUCUUCAACAUUGAAGGUCCCCAAGAACAGUGGCCUCCGUCAUUCUUAAAUUUAAGACGUUUGGAACCAUCAAGACUCUUCCUAGAGCUGGCUGCCCGGCCAAACUAAGUAAUCGGGGGAGAAGGGCCUUGGUCGGGGAGGUGACCAAGAACCCGAUGGUCACUCUGACAGAGCUACAGACUUCCUCUGUGGAGAUGGGAGAGCCUUACUGAAGGACCACCAUCUGUAAAGCACUCCACCAAUCAGGUCUUAAUGGUAGAGUGGCCAGACGGGAAGCCACUCCUCAGUAAAAGGCACAUGACCGCUGGCUUGGAGGCUGCCAAAAGGCACCUCAAGACUCAGACCAUGUGGAACAAGAUUCUCUUGUCUGAAGAAACCAAUAAACUAUUUUUGCCUGACUGCCAAGUGUCACAUCUGGAGGAAACCUGUCACCAUCCCUACGGUGAAGCAUGUUGGUGGCAACAGCUUGCUGUGGGGAUGUUUUACAGCGGCAGGGACUGGGAGACAAGUCAGGGUCGAGGGAAAGAUUUAAUGGCGCGAAGUACAGAGUUCAUUGAUGAAAGCCUGCUCAGGACGUCAGACUGGGGUGAAGGUGCACCUUCUAACAGGACAACGACCCUAAGUCACAGCCAAGACAGAAGAAUGGGAUAAAAUCCCCAAAUACAGGUGUACCAAGCUUGUCGCGUCAUACCCAGGAUGGCUCAAGGCUGUCAACGCUGCCAAAGGUGCUAAAACAAACUACAGAGUAAAGGUGUGGUGGACCGUUGUGAUGACACUGUAGACAUGUCACCUGUGCACCAGGUAGUCAAUAGAAACUGUCUCUAUGGUGACACGGGCUGGAGAACAUCCUGCUGAUGCUGCAGACAGGUCUGAGGGACAACCAGACCUCACAGGACAAACCCUCACAGCCAAGGUGAGCACUACAAUAGGCCAGGGUAACAGGACAGGAAGGUGAAUAUCUUAAGGGAGAAAAAAAGUGGGGGGAAUCCUUUUUGGUGCUAGGCAGAACCCUUUGAAAAUGGUUCUACCUAGAACCCUCUAUGUAGGGUUCGUCAUAUAAGCCUCUGUAUAUGGUUCUAUGAAGGGAUUUACUGAGAACCAUUUGAUCUUUGGAGGGUUCUUCCUAGAACCACCUAUGAACGGUUCCACCAGCCUUAUUAUCCUUUAUUAACAUUUUAUUUCUUUGACAAUAAGUCCAACUACUAACAGAUUGGAUUAGUUUAGAAAAAUGGGUUCUUUGUGUAGCAUAAAAUGUAUCAACUAAUCAGUGUACAUGUAAAAAUAGAUUAAAACAAACAAUUCUGAAAGUCACCCUGCAAUAGAGCAUGCUGGUGAUAUGGUUUUAUGUAGGACACUUUUUGCCUUUCAAAAUAACCCUUUCUUCCAGAAAGUGUGCUUCAGAUCAAAACGGUUCAUUUUGCUAGCCUGAUCCCAGAUCCGUUUAUGCUGUUUUGUCAAGUCCUACUGUAUAAUUGUCAUGCCAUGUUACCAUAGUAGUUGGCUAUCUGGCACAAAUACAGUUGAUUCGUAUUCAGACCCCUUGACUUUUUCCAUAUUUUGUUGCGUUACAUCCUUAUUCGAAUAUUGAUUAUAGUUUUUUUCCCUCAUCAAUCUACACAAUGACAAAGCAAAAACUUUUUUUAUUUUUUUUUUGUGCAAUUUUUUUAAUGUAUUUACAUAAGUAUACAGACCCUUUACUCAGUAUUUUGUUGAAGCACCUUUGGCAGCGAUUACAGCCUCGGUCUUUCUUGUGUAUGACGCUACACGCUUGGCACACCUGUAUUUGGGGAGUUUCUUGCAUCCUUCUCUGCAGAUCCUCUCAAGCUGUCUGGUUGGAUGGGAAGCGGGUCUCUCGGAGAUGUUUGAUUGGGUUCAAGUCCGGGCUCUGGCUGGGCCACUCAAGGCCGUUGAGACUUGUCCCGAAGCCACUCCUGCGUUGUCUUGGCUGUGUGCCUAGGUCGUUGUCCUGUUGUAAGGUGAACCUUCGCCCCAGUCGGAGGUCAUGAGUGCUCUGGAGCAGGUUUUCAUCAUCGAUCUUGUUUCUCAUUGUCUGAGUCCUUCAGAUGCUUUUUGGCAAACCCCAAGCGGGCUGUCAUGUGGUUUUAACUGAGUGAUUUCCGCCUGGCCACUCCACCAUAAAGGCCUGAUUGGUGGAGUGCUGCAGAGAUGUUUGUCCUUCAGUAAGGCUCUCCCAUCUCCGCAGAGGAACUCUGAAGCUCUGUCAGUGACCAUCAGGUUCUUGGUCACCUCCCUGACCAAGACCCUUCUACCCUGAUUCCUCAGUUUGGCCCGGGUGGACAGCUCUAAUAGUAUAGGUGGUUUAAAACGUCUUCCAUUUAAAAAUGAUGGAGGCCACUGUGUUCUUGGGGAUCUUCAAUGCUGCAGAAGUGUUUUGGUACCCUUCCCCAGAUCUGUGCCUCGACACAAUCCCGUCUCUGAGCUCUACAGACAAUUCCUUCGACCUGAUUGCUUGUUUUUUGCUCUGACAUGCACUGUCAACUGUGGGACCUUAUAUAGACAGGUGGGUGCCUUUCCAAAUCAUGUCCAAUCAAUUUAAUUUACCACAGGUGGACUCCAAUCAGGUUGUAGAAACAUCUCAAGGAUCAUCAAUGGAAAUAGGAUAUGCCUGAGCUAAAUUGAGGCUCAUAACAAAGUGUCUGAAUACUUAUAUAAAUACUUUAUCUGUUUAAGGUUAUUAUACAUUUGCAAAAAAUUCUGAACCUGUUUUUGUUUUGUCAUUAUGGGGUAUUGUGUGUGUGUGUAGAUUAUUUUCUCUCAAUUUAAUCAAUUUUAGAAUAAGGCUGUACCAUAACAAUGUGGGUAAGGGGCCUGAAUACUUUCUAACUGCAGUGUAUAUAAAUCAAAUGAAAUUGUAUCGGUCACACACACAUUUAGCAGAUUUUGUUGCAAAAUGCUUGUUCCUAGCUCCAACAGUGCAGUAGUAUCUAAAAACGAUUCACAACAAUGCCCAAUCUAAAAAUGGAAGAAUGACAUUAAGAAAUAUAUAAAUAUUAGAUUGAGAAAUGUCGGAGUGGCAUUGACUAAAAUACAUUAGACUAGAAUACAGUAUAUACAUGAGCUGAGUAAAGCAGUAUGUGAACAUUAUUCAAGUGACCAGUGAUUCUAUGUAUAUAGAGGGUGUUCCCUUUAUCCCAUACAUCCUGCAUGUUGAUUCAUGGCCUUGGCAAUGUAAACACUGAAAUAAUGUUUGGCUUUUAAAUUCCUUCUGUUCUGACUCUUCAUGUGAAAGGCUAUAGGCCUAAUGGAAUGGAUGAACAGCCAUGUAAAUGCCUAUUAUUAUUAUUAUUAAAUGCCUUAUUCUUAUCACGUCAUUCCAAAUCCAUUUUGAUUUCAAUAUCCCUGAGAUGAAUGUUGUAUAAUGUUAUGGUUCUUACAGCAAUUUAACUUGCACUUUGUUUUCAGGUUUGAAUGACAGUGUAUUCCCCUCAACUUAUUUCAAUAAAGUUGUUACUUGUUUUAUA